GCGAAAUAUACUUCGCCUGUAUCCAAAGAUUUCUGAAUAGCACAACAGAUAUCGCAGUAGCACGCAGUUUAUCAGCACGUGAAAUAUAAUUAAUCUGCCAAUACAUCACAGAUCUUGCACAAGGCAAUUCAAAGUCAUCAGACAAGUUACACAAGCGAUACAAUAACAGUAACAUUAACGUUUUGUUAACAAAACACCGGUCGUUAGUUGUUUUUCACAAUUCCCUUGCCAUUGUUUUGUUAAAAGCCGAUUGAAAUAAUUAUUCUCACGUUCCAGAAGAUAUGAGCUAUUGUCGUGGACAUUCAACGAACACAGACAAGGAAAUCAUAUCAUAUCACCGAUAAAGUCUGCAGUGUUUUUUAACCUUGAUAUUGGCAAAAUCAUUGGAAUCCCAAUAGAACUAUAGCUAUCGAGUAUAAGUAUACUUAAAAAAUGUUAAAGUUUGUUUAUUGAUAGAUAUUCAGUUUGAAUAUUUCCUCGUGGUGAUCGAAUAAGAUUAUAAUGUGUCACCACCUCUUUUUGUAUCCUGGAUAUCGCAAGAGGCGACUACAGAACCACACUAAGACAAUAUACAAGGUAAA